AAAACAAUCUGUAUUCGUUUACAAACUGGUUCCUCACACCUGACUUGCAUAAACACAUUUUGGGACGAUUUUGAAUUGCCUUGUGAAAGCAAACCGUGCCAAGGACAAAAUGAAACGUUUGAACAAUUUAUGUCCCCGUUUCAGAACAAAUCACAGAUCUACAGGUCUGAAAACGCUCUAAGAGAAUGGAAUGGUCAGUAGGACUGGAGAAGUGCACAAAGCCAGUUGAGAGUUUCCUUUGCUGAUUGCUUUGGAUCCUGCUGGAAGCUCCACCCACAUCUCAUCUUCAUCAUCCUGGUGGAUGGCAGCACAUUCUUUUCAAGAAUCUCUCGGUAAAUGGCUCCAUUCAUCGUUCCUGCCAAUACCAUGUGAUGAAAAACAGCCCCACACCAUGAUGCUUCACCUCCAAACUUCACUGGUGGUGUAGUGUUUUUAGG